rnacentral:tRNA from 2 species
GCGGGUAUUGUAUAAUGGCUUAUUAUGUCUGCCUUCCAAGCAGAAGACGCGAGUUCGAUUCUCGCUACCCGCUCAA